rnacentral:tRNA from 1 species
GGGUGUAGCUCAAUGAUAGAGUACUUGCCUAGCUUGUAGGAGACCCUCGGUUCGAUCCCCAGUGCUGCA